rnacentral:rRNA from 1 species
GACGAACGCUGGCGGCGUGCUUAACACAUGCAAGUCGAACGCUGAAGCCCGAGCUUGCUCGGGUGGAUGAGUGGCGAACGGGUGAGUAACACGUGAGUAACCUGCCCCUGACUCUGGGAUAAGCGCUGGAAACGGUGUCUAAUACUGGAUAUGAGCAACGGUCGCAUGGCCUGUUGUUGGAAAGAUUUAUCGGUUGGGGAUGGACUCGCGGCCUAUCAGCUAGAUGGUGAGGUAAUGGCUCACCAUGGCGACGACGGGUAGCCGGCCUGAGAGGGUGACCGGCCACACUGGGACUGAGACACGGCCCAGACUCCUACGGGAGGCAGCAGUGGGGAAUAUUGCACAAUGGGCGCAAGCCUGAUGCAGCAACGCCGCGUGAGGGAUGACGGCCUUCGGGUUGUAAACCUCUUUUAGUAGGGAAGAAGCGAAAGUGACGGUACCUGCAGAAAAAGCACCGGCUAACUACGUGCCAGCAGCCGCGGUAAUACGUAGGGUGCAAGCGUUGUCCGGAAUUAUUGGGCGUAAAGAGCUCGUAGGCGGCUUGUCGCGUCUGCUGUGAAAUCCCGGAGCUCAACUCCGGGCCUGCAGUGGGUACGGGCAGGCUAGAGUGCGGUAGGGGAGAUUGGAAUUCCUGGUGUAGCGGUGGAAUGCGCAGAUAUCAGGAGGAACACCGAUGGCGAAGGCAGAUCUCUGGGCCGUAACUGACGCUGAGGAGCGAAAGCAUGGGGAGCGAACAGGAUUAGAUACCCUGGUAGUCCAUGCCGUAAACGUUGGGAACUAGAUGUAGGGCCUGUUCCACGGGUUCUGUGUCGUAGCUAACGCAUUAAGUUCCCCGCCUGGGGAGUACGGCCGCAAGGCUAAAACUCAAAGGAAUUGACGGGGGCCCGCACAAGCGGCGGAGCAUGCGGAUUAAUUCGAUGCAACGCGAAGAACCUUACCAAGGCUUGACAUAUAGCAGAACACCGUAGAGAUACGGGACUCUUUGGACACUGUUAUACAGGUGGUGCAUGGUUGUCGUCAGCUCGUGUCGUGAGAUGUUCGGUUAAGUCCGGCAACGAGCGCAACCCUCGUCCUAUGUUGCCAGCACGUUAUGGUGGGAACUCAUGGGAUACUGCCGUGGUCAACACGGAGGAAGGUGGGGAUGACGUCAAAUCAUCAUGCCCCUUAUGUCUUGGGCUUCACGCAUGCUACAAUGGCCGGUACAAUGGGCUGCGAUACCGCGAGGUGGAGCGAAUCCCAAAAAGCCGGUCUCAGUUCGGAUUGGGGUCUGCAACUCGACCCCAUGAAGUCGGAGUCGCUAGUAAUCGCAGAUCAGCAACGCUGCGGUGAAUACGUUCCCGGGCCUUGUACACACCGCCCGUCAAGUCAUGAAAGUCGGUAACACCCGAAGCCGAUGGCCUAACCCCUUGUGGGAGGGAGUCGUCGAAGGUGGGACUGGUGAUUAGGACU